AUUUAAAGAAAGCGUAAUAGCUCACUGGUCGAGUCGGCCUGCGCGGAAGAUGUAACGGGGCUAAACCAUGCACCGAAGCUGCGGCAGCGACACUAUGUGUUGUUGGGUAGGGGAGCGUUCUGUAAGCCUGCGAAGGUGGCCUGUGAGGGCUGCUGGAGGUAUCAGAAGUGCGAAUGCUGACAUAAGUAACGAUAAAGCGGGUGAAAAGCCCGCUCGCCGGAAGACCAAGGGUUCCUGUCCAACGUUAAUCGGGGCAGGGUGAGUCGACCCCUAAGGCGAGGCCGAAAGGCGUAGUCGAUGGGAAACAGGUUAAUAUUCCUGUACUUGGUGUUACUGCGAAGGGGGGACGGAGAAGGCUAUGUUAGCCGGGCGACGGUUGUCCCGGUUUAAGCAUGUAGGCGGAGGUUCCAGGUAAAUCCGGUACCUUUUAACGCUGAGGUGUGAUGACGAGGCACUACGGUGCUGAAGUAACAAAUGCCCUGCUUCCAGGAAAAGCCUCUAAGCAUCAGGUAACAUCAAAUCGUACCCCAAACCGACACAGGUGGUCAGGUAGAGAAUACCAAGGCGCUUGAGAGAACUCGGGUGAAGGAACUAGGCAAAAUGGUGCCGUAACUUCGGGAGAAGGCACGCUGGUGUGUAGGUGAAGUCCCUGCGGA
rnacentral:rRNA from 1 species